rnacentral:rRNA from 1 species
CUCCUACGGGAGGCAGCAGUGAGGAAUAUUGCGCAAUGGAGGCAACUCUGACGCAGCCAUGCCGCGUGCAGGAAGACGGCCCUACGGGUUGUAAACUGCUUUUCAUCCGGGAAGAAACCCCAGGACGUGUCCUGGGUUGACGGUACCGGAGGAAUAAGCACCGGCUAACUCCGUGC